CCCCUAGAUGUUCUGGGCCGCACGCGCGCUACACUGAACAGUUCAACAAGUCUUAACCUUGGCCGAUAGGUCUGGGUAAUCUUUGAACGCUGUUCGUGAUUGGGAUAGACCUUUGCAAUUAUGGGUCUUCUACGAGGAAUUCCUAGUAAACGCAAGUCAUCAGCUUGCAUUGAUUACGUCCCUGCCCUUUGUACACACCGCCCGUCGCACCUACCGAUUGAAUGGUCCGGUGAAAUCUCGGGACGGCGGCUUGGUCGCUUGCGUCCGACUGCUGAAACUUGAUUAAACCAUAUCAUUUAGAGGAAGGUGAANUCGUANCA
rnacentral:rRNA from 1 species